rnacentral:rRNA from 1 species
ACCUCAGAUCAAGUAGGGUUACCCG